CCGAACGAGCCAAUCAGGAUGUCGAGAGGGUUUUGCGAUGUUUGGUUUCCAAUAAUCCUUCGUCCUGGUGUCAGCAACUCUCAGUUGUGGAGUACGCACACAAUUCUUUGCCAGUGUCAUCUACGGGCAUGUCUCCAUUUAAGUGUAGUUUAGGGUACCAACCACCUAAUUUUGUCAGUACGGAAUCCGAGGUUUCGGUCCCCUCCGCACACGCAUUAGUCCAGAGGCCGAUCGCCACCGGUCGAAGCCUCCCCGUUACGUCGUCGGUCAAAGAGUGUGGCUUUCUACCCAGAAUAUUCCUAUGCGGUCCGUUUCUAACAAACUUGCUCCCAAAUUUAUUGGCCCGUUUUCUAUUACCAAGAUUAUUAAUCCGGUUACCGUGCGUCUUAGCCUUCCUCCGGCGUACAGGAGGAUUCAUCCCGUGUUCCACGUCUCCAAAAUUAAAUCGGUGAUUUCUUCCCGUCUUAAUCCGCCUGCUCCGGUUCCCCCCCCGCCUCGUCUCGUUAAUGGGGAAACCACCUAUUUGGUUAAUCGUAUUCUGGACUCUAGACGGAGGGGACGCGGUUUUCAGUACUUGGUGGAUUGGGAAGGUUACGGUCCGGAGGAGAGGAGCUGGGUUCCUGCUCGGGACAUAUUGGAUCACCACCUUAUAGAUGAUUACAAUCUACAGGUAAAGCAGGCUGGGAACGUCAGGUGACGUCCUAGGGGAGAGGGUACUGUCACGGUAGGAAAUCCAGUGUUUCCUCCGUGUCAUGUUUUGUUAUUGUUUUUGUACUUACGUUGUCUCCAUGUGCUCGUUUAGUUGAUUGUCAUCACCUGGGUGUUGAUUGUCUCGCUCCAGCUGAUCGUCAUCAUACCUCUGCUACUUAUACUCACCUCGCUCUCUCUCUGUUGUCAGAUCCUCUCUUAUGUCUCCAUGCACUAGCUGGAUUACCGUCCUCCGUGUUUGUGUGCUGGUUUGGAUUCGAGUUGUCGUCCGCGUGUCAGUGUUCCGGUCUGUUCCUGGUUCCAACCAUUGACCACCUUCACCUGCACCGCUGACUUCACCAUCCCGCUCUUCUCACGCCACCGUAGACCUUCCUUGCCAUUGCCAACACUCUGGACACUCUUUAUCAAUAAACAACAUCUGAUUGCCUGCAA